rnacentral:misc_RNA from 1 species
UCUCCGUAGGUGAACCUGCGGAGGGAUCAUUACAGAGUUCAUGCCCUAACGGGUAGAUCUCCCACCCUAUGUUAUCAUCACUUUGUUGCUUUGGCGGGCCGUCAGGCCUCGGCUUGGCUACCGGCUCUCGCUGGUAAGCGCCCGCCAGAGAACCCCAAACCCUGAAUAUCAGUAUCGUCUGAGUACUAUAUAAUAGUUAAAACUUUCAACAACGGAUCUCUUGGUUCUG